rnacentral:ribozyme from 1 species
AAAACAAGAGGAAUUGAAAAACAAAAAACAAAAAGUGGAAAAUAAAAAGUUUGUUUUUUUUUAAAAAUUAGUUUUUAUUUUUUUAUUUUUUUCGUCUU